AUUGAACGCUGGCGGCAUGCUUUACACAUGCAAGUCGAACGGUAACAGGCCUUCGGGUGCUGACGAGUGGCGAACGGGUGAGUAAUGCAUCGGAACGUGCCCAGAGGUGGGGGAUAACGCAGCGAAAGCUGUGCUAAUACCGCAUGUGAUCUGAGGAUGAAAGCGGGGGACCAGGCAGCAAUGUUUGGCCUCGCGCCUUUGGAGCGGCCGAUGUCAGAUUAGGUAGUUGGUGGGGUAAAGGCCUACCAAGCCGACGAUCUGUAGCUGGUCUGAGAGGACGACCAGCCACACUGGGACUGAGACACGGCCCAGACUCCUACGGGAGGCAGCAGUGGGGAAUUUUGGACAACGGGCGCAAGCCUGAUCCAGCAAUGCCGCGUGCGGGAAGAAGGCCUUCGGGUUGUAAACCGCUUUUGUACGGAACGAAAAGGCUCUGGCUAAUACCUGGGGCUGAUGACGGUACCGUAAGAAUAAGCACCGGCUAACUACGUG
rnacentral:rRNA from 1 species